GACGAACGCUGGCGGCGUGCCUAAUACAUGCAAGUUGAGCGCUGAAGGUUGGUACUUGUACCAACUGGAUGAGCAGCGAACGGGUGAGUAACGCGUGGGGAAUCUGCCUUUGAGCGGGGGACAACAUUUGGAAACGAAUGCUAAUACCGCAUAAAAACUUUAAACACAAGUUUUAAGUUUGAAAGAUGCAAUUGCAUCACUCAAAGAUGAUCCCGCGUUGUAUAGCUAGUUGGUGAGGUAAAGGCUCACCAAGGCGAUGAUACAUAGCCGACCUGAGAGGGUGAUCGGCCACAUUGGGACUGAGACACGGCCCAAACUCCUACGGGAGGCAGCAGUAGGGAAUCUUCGGCAAUGGACGAAAGUCUGACCGAGCAACGCCGCGUGAGUGAAGAAGGUUUUCGGAUCGUAAAACUCUGUUGGUAGAGAAGAACGUUGGUGAGAGUGGAAAGCUCAUCAAGUGACGGUAACUACCCAGAAAGGGACGGCUAACUACGUG
rnacentral:rRNA from 1 species